UACGAGGAAAAAUUAUGCCGUACAGUGGAUGGUUGGGCUCAAGUAGCGACGAAGGGCGUAGCAAGUUGCGAUAAGCCCGGGGUAGAGGCAUGCACUCGUUGAACCCGGGAUUCCCGAAUUGCCCCGCGAGGGGCGCGUCACCCGCUGAAUUGAAAUAUCUUAGUAAGCGGAGGAAGAGAUACCAACUGGUAUACCAGGAGUAGUGCGAACGAAACUGGCGAAGGGCAAACCGAAUCCCUCCCGCGAGGGGGGUAGAGAUGUGGUGUUGCGGGCCUGCUUUUAGCAGUACGCGUUUAGGGCCGAACUCGCCUGGAAAGGCGGGCAAUAAAGGGUGAAAGCCCCGUAGGCUCUGGGCGCGGACGCGUGCAGGUUCCUGAGUAGCGCUCCCCGACUUGGGAGUGUGAAGCCGCCGGUCAUUAACCGGCAACCCUAAACAUAUCUUGAGACCGAUAGCGAAUCCAGUACUGUAAAGGAACGCUGAAAAGAACCCCGAAAGGGGGGUUAAAAGUGCCUGAAACUGUGCACGGCUACAAUCAGAUGCGGCGUGAAAGGAAUGACAACGACCGGCGUCGCAUCAUCCUUCUUGAAGCAAGAGCCAAGGAGUUCUAGGCAGUGGCGAGCAUUGAGCAUAGCGAAAGCGAUUACGCGCAACGGCGCAAGCCGCGAGGCGUGCGGUCCCAACAGGCCGCGAGUCACUGUUUACUGACCUGAAGCCGCACCGAGCUAAACCCGGGCAGGGUGAAGCCGUCCGUCAGGAUGGUCGAAGCCCGCAACCAGUGCUGGUCUAUCCGCUUGGGUGACCUGGGCUUAGGGGUGAAAUUCCAUACGAGGGCGGCAAUAGCAGGUUCCCAUCGAAGUGAACCGCAGUUCAGCCUCUCUGGAGCCGGGCCUUGAGUAGAGAUACUGAUUAAAGGGAACGGGGGCGAAAGCCUUCACCCUUCAGUCAAACUCCGAAUUCAAUGCCGGCGUAGAUGGAGGGAGUUGGGGGAGCGGGUUAAGCACGCUUUCCGAGGGGGGAACGACCCCCACUGCAGUUAAGGUCCCCAAGCAACGGCUAAGUGUUAAUCAGUAAGGUGUCCUGAACCUCAGACAGCGGGGAGGUAGGCUCAGAAGCAGCCAUCCUAUAAUCAACGCGUAACAGCGGACCCGUCAAGGUUCGGGGCGUCGCAAACUCUCGGGACUAAAGCCGUUCACCGAUACUGUGGCACCGUUGCAGUUUGCAACAGGUGAGUAGAUGGGCGUACGGGUCGGGGCGAAGCGAGGCCGUGAGGUCUCGUGGACCGUCUCGUAAUGAAGAUCUUGGCGUAAGUAGCAACGAUUCCAGGCGAGAAUCCUGGACGCCGUAAGGGCAAGGUUUUCUUGGCAACGCUAGUCGACCAAGAGUUAGUCGGUCCUAAACCCAAACGUAAUCGUGUAGGGUGAAAGGGAAAGGCGUUAAUAUUCGUCUACCACUCCAGUGGGCGCGGCAACGCAAGAACGUCUUCCAACGCUUGCGGACAAGCCCAGCACUCAUGUGGGUGCUUAACUGAACCAGACCCGUGAAGUCUCGUUGCGAGGAGCAGCGGGUCAAGUCGGGAACAGGGCCGCAAGGCCUUGGGCUGAUAUCCGAAAGCCCCUGAAAAGGAAGCGUUAACUAUCUGGAGUGACCGUACCGAGAUCGCGUACGCGUGUCCCUGGCGGAAAAAGCUAAGGCGUGGCAGGAUAACCAAGGCAAGGGAACUCGGCAAAUUGGCCCGGUACCUUCGGUAUAACGGGUGCCUACUUUACUUCCCGAGACUCUGUCAAGGGGGGUUCAGUAGGUCGCAGUGACAAGGGAACAGCGACUGUUUACCAAAAACACAGGUCCCCGCAAGGUCUAAAGGCUGUGUACGGGGGCCGACGCCUGCUCACUGGCAGUAUCUCAAAUCGGGUUUCAACUCGACAAAGGACUGCUAAAGAGCGGGAGUAACUCUGACUCUCUUAAGGUAAACCAAAGUUGCCUUAACCAAAUCUGGCUAUAUGCUGGAAAACCUGUGAAUCUCACGCUACCAGUGGAAGCGACGUCUCGCAAGCUUUAAACGGCUUCGCGGGGCAACGCUUUCGCGGGUGACAAUGCGUUGAGUGCAGGCAAUCAGCAGGAAAGGCUGGAUGCUGAGUGGAUUGCCGGUUUCGUCGACGGGGAAGGCUGUUUUCACGUGGCCUUAAACAGGCUCGAGAAAAUGGCGACUGGCUGGACCGUCCUACCUGAAUUCAGGGUCGUUCAACACCAGCGUGACGAACGGGUGCUUCACCGAAUCCGGGAUUUUUUCGGGUUCGGCAAAGUGACCGUGAAUCACGGAGACCGAAAAGAGUUCCGCGUGAGGGGAGUGAAAAACUUGAGGAAACUCGUUUGUUUCUUCGGGAAACACACUCUCCAAACUACAAAGCGAGAAAAUCUCGCUUUGUUCGCGGAAGUGCUUUCGAUCAUGGAGUCGAAACGACACUUGAAAAAGGAAGGGCUGGAUGAAAUAGCCAGCAUAAUGACCCGCAUGAACAGGAAACCGGUUCCAAAGUAUCUAGAAUCCUCAGAGACUAUACGCCAGAAGGCGCAAAGCGCGCCUAAGAUAUAGUCCGAACCGCGCGGCGACGCGCGGAGGCAGGCGGAAACGCCCUGCCCCGCUCCCGAAAGGGGGCGAGUAACAAAAUUGAGCGUAAUACCUCGCCGCUUAAUUGGUGGCUUGCAUGAAUGGCGUAACGACUGUUCUGCUGUCCCUGUCUUGGACCUGGUGAAAUCGCUUCUCGGUGAACAUGCCGAGGACUCCGAGUGGGAAACGAAGACCCCGUGAAGCUUAACCACAGGCUGUUAUUGAUUCGUUGUUGGGGAAUCAAAGAGUAAGCAGUAGCCGUCAAGCACUCCGUUCCGGCGUGGGUGAUAGGCGAAAGUGUGACACUGCUAUUCUUUGACGGCGAGUCUUUACCCGAAAGGGGACAGUUGCAGCUGGGUGGUUUGACUGGGGCGGUACGCCUUCGAUAAGGAAACAAAGGCGCCCAAAGGUCGACUCAAGCGCGUCAGAAAUGCGCUGUAGAGGGUCAAAGACAAAUGUCGGCCUGACUGUAAUCCUAACAAAGUGGGUUGCAGGCACGAAAGUGGGGCUUAACGAACAAACGUGUCUCCCUUAAUGGGAGCCGUUUCUGACAGACAAGCUACUCCGGGGGUAACAGGCUCGUCGCGGUCGAGAGUUCAUAUCGACACCGCGGUUUGGUACAUCGCUAUCGGCUCAGGUCAUCCUGGUGGUGCAGGAGCCGCCAAGGGUUGGGUUGUUCAUCCAUUAAAGACCUACGCUAGUUGGGUUCAGAACGUCGCGAGACAGUUCGGUGGCAUCUACUCGGAGUGUUUUGCUGACUGAGGGUAAGGAACUCUAAGUACGAGAGGAACGGGGUUUCGGCGCCACUGGUUCACCUGCCCUUCACAAGGGAGCAGGGUAGCUACGCGCCAGUUGGAUAAGCCCUGAAGGCAUCUAAGGGCGAAGCCAGUCCCAAAACGAGUCAGCUUAGGCCGCUCGCCAGCAGACGAGUUCGAUAGGACGGAGGUGUAAGCACGAAGCCGCAAGGCGACGUGUUCAGCCAACCGUUACUAAAGGCCAAAACCUCAACAUA
rfam:Candidatus Micrarchaeota archaeon CG1_02_60_51 cg1_0.2_scaffold_947_c, whole genome shotgun sequence.